UACGGAGGGUGCGAGCGUUGCUCGGAAUCACUGGGCGUAAAGCGUACGCAGGCUGUCUCGUAAGUCGGGUGUGAAAGCCCGGGGCUCAACCCCGGAAUUGCGCCCGAGACUGCGGGGCUUGAAUGCGGGAGAGGGAAGCGGAAUUCCUGGUGUAGAGGUGAAAUUCGUAGAUAUCAGGAGGAACACCGGUGGCGAAAGCGGCUUCCUGGCCCGACAUUGACGCUCAUGUACGAGAGCGUGGGGAGCAAACAGG
rnacentral:rRNA from 1 species